GAUGAACGCUGGCGGCGUGCCUAAUACAUGCAAGUCGAGCGAACGGACGAGAAGCUUGCUUCUCUGAUGUUAGCGGCGGAUGGGUGAGUAACACGUGGAUAACCUACCUAUAAGACUGGGAUAACUUCGGGAAACCGGAGCUAAUACCGGAUAAUAUUUUGAACCGCAUGGUUCAAUAGUGAAAGACGGUCUUGCUGUCACUUAUAGAUGGAUCCGCGCUGCAUUAGCUAGUUGGUAAGGUAACGGCUUACCAAGGCAACGAUGCAUAGCCGACCUGAGAGGGUGAUCGGCCACACUGGAACUGAGACACGGUCCAGACUCCUACGGGAGGCAGCAGUAGGGAAUCUUCCGCAAUGGGCGAAAGCCUGACGGAGCAACGCCGCGUGAGUGAUGAAGGUCUUCGGAUCGUAAAACUCUGUUAUUAGGGAAGAACAUAUGUGUAAGUAACUGUGCACGUCUUGACGGUACCUAAUCAGAAAGCCACGGCUAACUACGUG
rnacentral:rRNA from 1 species